AGCACCCCGGAAGGGGAGUGAAAUAGAACCUGAAACCGUGUGCUUACAAGUAGUCAGAGCCCGUUAAUGGGUGAUGGCGUGCCUUUUGUAGAAUGAACCGGCGAGUUACGAUUUGAUGCAAGGUUAAGCAGUAAAUGUGGAGCCGUAGCGAAAGCGAGUCUGAAUAGGGCGUUUAGUAUUUGGUCGUAGACCCGAAACCAGGUGAUCUACCCUUGGUCAGGUUGAAGUUCAGGUAACACUGAAUGGAGGACCGAACCGACUUACGUUGAAAAGUGAGCGGAUGAACUGAGGGUAGCGGAGAAAUUCCAAUCGAACCUGGAGAUAGCUGGUUCUCUCCGAAAUAGCUUUAGGGCUAGCCUCAAGUGAUGAUUAUUGGAGGUAGAGCACUGUUUGGACGAGGGGCCCCUCUCGGGUUACCGAAUUCAGACAAACUCCGAAUGCCAAUUAAUUUAACUUGGGAGUCAGAACAUGGGUGAUAAGGUCCGUGUUCGAAAGGGAAACAGCCCAGACCACCAGCUAAGGUCCCAAAAUAUAUGUUAAGUGGAAAAGGAUGUGGCGUUGCCCAGACAACUAGGAUGUUGGCUUAGAAGCAGCCAUCAUUUAAAGAGUGCGUAAUAGCUCACUAGUCGAGUGACACUGCGCCGAAAAUGUACCGGGGCUAAACAUAUUACCGAAGCUGUGGAUUGUCCUUUGGACAAUGGUAGGAGAGCGUUCUAAGGGCGUUGAAGCAUGAUCGUAAGGACAUGUGGAGCGCUUAGAAGUGAGAAUGCCGGUGUGAGUAGCGAAAGACGGGUGAGAAUCCCGUCCACCGAUUGACUAAGGUUUCCAGAGGAAGGCUCGUCCGCUCUGGGUUAGUCGGGUCCUAAGCUGAGGCCGACAGGCGUAGGCGAUGGAUAACAGGUUGAUAUUCCUGUACCACCUAUA
rnacentral:rRNA from 1 species